GAUGAACGCUGGCGGCGUGCCUAACACAUGCAAGUCGAACGGAAAGGACCUGCUUGCUGGGUAUUCGAGUGGCGAACGGGUGAGUAACACGUGGGUGAUCUGCCCUUCACUUCGGGAUAAGCCCGGGAAACUGGGUCUAAUACCGGAUAGGAGCCAUUCUCAGCGUGAUGGUUGGAAAGUUUUUUCGGUGUAGGAUGGUCUCGCUGCCUAUCAGCUUGUUGGUGGAGUAAUGGCCUACCAAGGCGGCGACGGGUAGCCGGCCUGAGAGGGUGGACGGCCACAUUGAGACGGAGCUACGGCCCAGACGCCGACGGGAGGAAGCGGUGAGGAAUAUUGCACAAUGGGCGCAAGGCUGAGGCAGCGACGCCGCGUGGGGGAUUACUACCUUCGUGUUGUAAGCGCAUAUCGCUAGGGACGAGGCUUUUUGUGACGGUACUUAAAGAAGAAGCACCGGCUAACUACGUG
rnacentral:rRNA from 1 species